UACGUAGGGGGCUAGCGUUGUCCGGAUUUAUUGGGCGUAAAGAGCGUGUAGGCGGCUUGGUAGGUCCGCUGUGAAAACUCGAGGCUCAACCUCGAGAUGUCGGCGGAAACCACUUGGCUAGAGUCCGGAAGAGGAGAGUGGAAUUCCCGGUGUAGCGGUGAAAUGCGUAGAGAUGUGGAGGAACACCAAUGGCGAAGGCAGCCUUCUGGGCCAACACUGACGCUCAUGCACGAAAGCGUGGGGAGCAAACAGG
rnacentral:rRNA from 1 species